rnacentral:rRNA from 1 species
GAUGAACGCUGGCGGCGUGCCUAAUACAUGCAAGUCGAGCGAACAGAUAAGGAGCUUGCUCCUUUGACGUUAGCGGCGGACGGGUGAGUAACACGUGGAUAACCUACCUAUAAGACUGGGAUAACUUCGGGAAACCGGGGCUAAUGCCGGAUAACAUUUAGAACCGCAUGGUUCUAAAGUGAAAGACGGUUUUGCUAUCACUUAUAGAUGGACCCGCGCCGUAUUAGCUAGUUGGUAAGGUAACGGCUUACCAAGGCAACGAUACGUAGCCGACCUGAGAGGGUGAUCGGCCACACUGGAACUGAGACACGGUCCAGACUCCUACGGGAGGCAGCAGUAGGGAAUCUUCCGCAAUGGGCGAAAGCCUGACGGAGCAACGCCGCGUGAGUGAUGAAGGUCUUCGGAUCGUAAAACUCUGUUAUUAGGGAAGAACAAAUGUGUAAGUAACUAUGCACGUCUUGACGGUACCUAAUCAGAAAGCCACGGCUAACUACGUG